rnacentral:rRNA from 1 species
CUACGUGCCAGCAGCCGCGGUAAUACGUAGGUCCCGAGCGUUGUCCGGAUUUAUUGGGCGUAAAGCGAGCGCAGGCGGUUAGAUAAGUCUGAAGUUAAAGGCUGUGGCUUAACCAUAGUACGCUUUGGAAACUGUUUAACUUGAGUGCAAGAGGGGAGAGUGGAAUUCCAUGUGUAGCGGUGAAAUGCGUAGAUAUAUGGAGGAACACCGGUGGCGAAAGCGGCUCUCUGGCUUGUAACUGACGCUGAGGCUCGAAAGCGUGGGGAGCAAACAGGAUUAGAUACCCUGGUAGUCCACGCCGUAAACGAUGAGUGCUAGGUGUUAGACCCUUUCCGGGGUUUAGUGCCGCAGCUAACGCAUUAAGCACUCCGCCUGGGGAGUACGACCGCAAGGUUGAAACUCAAAGGAAUUGACGGGGGCCCGCACAAGCGGUGGAGCAUGUGGUUUAAUUCGAGGCAACGCGAAGAACCUUACCAGGUCUUGACAUCCCUCUGACCUCUCUAGAGAUAGAGAUUUC